AAGGCAGUGGGAUCAGCCUCUGGCAGCCCAGGAGUCCCUGACUGAUGCCCAGGGCUGCCUCUCCAUGGUCCUAGAGCCCUGGCUUGUGUGCUGAGCACCGACUGAGAAUGAAGAUGCAGGGUCCUGCCUUGGGCCUCAGACACAGGAGGGAGGUGGAUGCAGUCUUCAGUUUCCAGCCACCAAGAUGCCUGGGAACUUUCAACAAGUGCUGGCUUCCAAGAAAUUCUGGAGGGAGUCACAGGGUCAGAGCUGGAGCUGGUUCAGAAAGCAGCCUGCUUAGGGAGGAGACAGCUUCAUCAUCAUCUCUGCCCACUCAGACAUGAACAGUCCUCUGAGGUGGUGGUAGCAUGGCUCAUUUUUUCAGACGAGAAAGAAAACUGAGUCUAAGGGAUGAAGUCAAGUACACGGUUAAUACAAGGAAAGCAAGCAGCCCGGAGCCAGCACAUCCUAGGGAUUCCAUGGGUGUUAGUUUUGUUUUCUGCCUGUCUCUUCUCUCUUCCUCCAGAGGAUCAAAGAGGCCUGAUCCCAUAACACAAAAGCGCAGGAGCUUCCACAGAGAGCCAUCACAUUCCCAGGAAGAAUCACUGAGGUGUGGGGCACAGAAUGAGUUUAGGGACCCUGCAGGCCUGCGUUCAAGUCAUGCCCCUCCGUGCCACCUUGUCAUCUCUGGCUAUGAACCUCGUGGUGCAGGAUGGCCCAGCAAGGCUGUUGACUUUGCCUCCAAAAUCUCUGGAAUCUCUACACUUCUCUUCACUGGCCACGCUUGUCCCAUCUGGAGUAAGCACCGGCCUCCCCUGUUGCUCUCGCUGCUCCUGUCCCCUGUAGGACACUCUCCACCUGGCAGCCAGAGAGAGCUCGUCUUAAAGAGAAAACCAGAUCUCCCCAUUUCCCUUCCAAAACCAGUGAUAUUCGGGUCAAUGGUGAACGUUCAGGGAGAAAAACCAAGAUUGGUGGCAUUUGUCAAUUUCUGUCAAUCCUCCUGCCAUGGCUGA
rnacentral:lncRNA from 13 species